rnacentral:rRNA from 1 species
GACGAACGCUGGCGGCGUGCUUAACACAUGCAAGUCGAACGGAAGGGCCCUGCUUUUGUUGGGUGCUCGAGUGGCGAACGGGUGAGUAACACGUGAGUAACCUGCACUUGACUUUGGGGUAACUUCAGGGAAAUGGGGCUAAUACCGGAUAGGAGCUCCUGCUGCAUGGGGGGGGUUGGAAAGUUUCGGCGGUUGGGGAUGGACUCGCGGCUUAUGAGCUUGUUGGUGGGGUAGGGGCUUACCAAGGUUUUGACGGGUAGGCGGCCUGAGAGGGUGACCGGCCACAUGGGGACUGAGAUACGGCCCAGACUCCUACGGGAGGCAGCAGGGGGGAAUAUUGCACAAUGGGCGGAAGCCUGAGGUAGCAACCUCGCGUGCGGGAUGACGUCUUUCGGGUUGUAAACCGAUUUCGCCUGUGACGAAGCGUGAGUGACGGUAAUGGGUAAAGAAGCACCGGCUAACUACGUG